rnacentral:rRNA from 1 species
AGCGAACGCUGGCGGCAUGCUUAACACAUGCAAGUCGCACGGUCAGCAAUGGCAGUGGCGGACGGGUGAGUAACACGUAGGAAUCUAUCCUGGGGUGGGGGACAACAGCGGGAAACUGCUGCUAAUACCGCAUGAUGCCUGAGGGCCAAAGACGAAAGUCGUUUGAGGAGGAGCCUGCGUCUGAUUAGGUAGUUGGUGGGGUAAAGGCCUACCAAGCCCUGCGAUCAGUAGCUGGUCUGAGAGGAUGAUCAGCCACAUUGGGACUGAGACACGGCCCAAACUCCUACGGGAGGCAGCAGUGGGGAAUAUUGGACAAUGGGCGCAAGCCUGAUCCAGCAAUGCCGCGUGGGUGAAGAAGGUCUUCGGAUUGUAAAGCCCUUUUGGCGGGGACGAUGAUGACGGUACCCGCAGAAUAAGCUCCGGCUAACUUCGUG